rnacentral:rRNA from 1 species
UAAGAGAUUAUUUGCAUCAGGUUCAAGUGAAGUGCCACCUGUGAAGUUGAUUGACAAGGCAGUUGAAUGAAGCCACUUAUUAGCACCUUGCUUGCUCUUCUUUCUUUUUGGAGCCAAAAGAUCCAUCGGCGCUCCACUACUGGGCUUUGAUUUGAAGAGACUGCUGGGAAAGGUUAUCUCGGUCAUCUUCCGUCUGAUACAUAGGUCAAACCAGGACUCACACACUCUCUCGCCGAUAUUUCCCUCCGCUCCCGUGAAUACAUCGUCUUCUACGCACGGCGGCGCCGCCUUGGAUCGGCCCUCCGUCGCGCCGCUUCGGUCGUCACCACGCAUCUCAGCUCCAAUAACCAGGUCGUGAUGGCUGACGAUGAGCUCUAGGUUCAUGGCUCACCAGGCUCCACUGGCUCCACCAACAACUGUCUGCAGGCACUUGCACAG